UACGGGGGGGGCAAGCGUUGUUCGGAAUUACUGGGCGUAAAGGGCUCGUAGGCGGCCAACUAAGUCAGACGUGAAAUCCCUCGGCUUAACCGGGGAACUGCGUCUGAUACCGGAUGGCUUGAGUGUGGGAGAGGGAUGCGGAAUUCCAGGUGUAGCGGUGAAAUGCGUAGAUAUCUGGAGGAACACCGGUGGCGAAGGCGGCAUCCUGGACCAUUACUGACGCUGAGUGAGCGAAAGCCAGGGGAGCAAACGGG
rnacentral:rRNA from 1 species